GCGGUGAGGAGCCGAGCUAGGGCGCCGAGGUCAGCCCGCAAUUUAGGAGGAGGCGGCUGACCGUCGGGUUCAACAGGUGCUCGUGUCCUGAUCCUGACAUUUUCUUUUUUUUUAUUCCAUGUUCCCGGCCUUUGAACACUACACACGAUAGUGUUUUGAAGCCCCGCGUGGAGAGAGGGACAGGCUGGGUUUGAAGCCUGGCUUCAAACUCCAACGCCGGCCAUCGGAUUGAGUUAAGGUGUUUUUAGCCUUUGAUUUUAAUAGAGGCGACUUGUUGUGUAUAUUUUCUAGGUGUACAAUAGCUAGAGACUUUUAGCCAUAGACGUUUUCCUGAGGAGGAGACGUAGUUUAAUUUUGAUCGGUCCAUUAUAGUAGAGAUUGUGGAGGAAUAUAUGGUUGUGGCUUGUGGACGCUUAUGCCAAAGGAAAAAAAGAAAGUUGUUGGAUAAGCUAGGGGUAUAUGUGCCAUUUGUCAUCUCGGCUAACUCUAUCUCCAGAACCUAGAAUUGCUUGCUUUGCCAGCGGAGGGUGUAGUAUUGAAUAUAGCUAGUUGGGUCAAUAUAAGACAACACUGGAAGUUCU
rnacentral:lncRNA from 1 species